UUUUCGUAGGUGAACCUGCGUAAGGAUCAUUAACGUUAAACAUUCGUUUAAUAAAAGGAAGUCCUGUCGUCUGCCCCAGCGCAGCGAUUGGCGGUGGUCAACCUUUCGGGGAAGAUCGCGACGAUGUCACUGCUGGCUAGGCUUCAGCUAUAGUGGGCUGCUGUUAUUGGUUAGCGACCAAGUGACACCUGGAACCAGGCUUUCUGGGUGCCCGAUUGCCAUGUUUACGUGGACAGUGCUUAUUAUGCCUGAGCAUUGUGGGCCGAAAGGACUUUGUACACUAACAGAGUCGCCCUGUUUGUUGUUUGUCGUUAAUAAAUAUAAAUUGAUAUAAUAAAAUUUGCAAAUAAAAUAAUUAUGAAAUCACUCUGAGCGGUGGAUCACUCGGCUCGC
rnacentral:misc_RNA from 1 species